UACAGAGGGUGCAAGCGUUAAUCGGAUUUACUGGGCGUAAAGGGCGCGUAGGCGGUUAAUUAAGUCAGUUGUGAAAUCCCCGGGCUUAACCUGGGAACUGCAACUGAUACUGAUGAACUGGAGUGAUGUAGAGGGUAGUGGAAUUUCCGGUGUAGCGGUGAAAUGCGUAGAGAUCGGAAGGAACACCAGUGGCGAAGGCGGCUACCUGGACAUUAACUGACGCUGAGGCGCGAGAGCGUGGGGAGCAAACAGG
rnacentral:rRNA from 1 species